AUGUUUUCGGAUACUGCCAUACAAUUACAACCUAUCUUUGCUCAAUGGGUACAAAAUAUCCAUGCUACUGCGCCUGGCGUAACAGCUCCUGGUGCAACAACAAGUACUAGCUUAACGUGGGGAGGUGGCGAGUUAGUAGCAGUAGGUGGCAAAGUGGCUUUGUUACCUAUUCCAUUAGGAACCGCAGAUUUUUUAGUCCAUCACAUUCAUGCAUUUACCAUACAUGUGACUGUAUUAAUACUUUUGAAAGGUGUUUUAUUUGCUCGGAGUUCCCGUUUGAUACCUGAUAAAGCAAAUCUAGGUUUUCGCUUUCCUUGCGAUGGGCCUGGCCGAGGGGGAACAUGUCAAGUAUCCGCCUGAGAUCAUGUUUUCCCCACACCAUCGCCGUCGCCGCCCCCUGCCUCCUCGUCGCCUCUCGCCGCGCCCCUCACCGUCCCCGUCGCCGCCCCCUGCCUCCUCGUCGCCUGUCGCCGCACCCCUCACCGUCGCCAUCGCCGCGCCCCUCACCGUCGCCGUCGCCGCGCCCCUCACCGUCGCCCCCGUGCCCUGCCUCCUCGUCGAUCGUCGCCCCCUUAA
rnacentral:rRNA from 1 species